rnacentral:lncRNA from 1 species
CUUUUCUUUGGGUCUUCUCCAAGUUCCACAGACCUGGCAUUAAUUGUAAGGCCCGAUAUUCCUAUAAUUGCAGGGUAAGUAUUUUUGUGCGGAUCACAAGCCUGACCUCCUUUGUUAUUUAGUUUGAGCUGGAUUCUCCGUGGACAGAGGGAGAGGCAUGAAAUGAGUAAAUAUUUAAUUCAGGAGAAGCCUGCGGCUUCAAAAUGUUUUCCCAUUUGCUCAGGCCUGGCCCACAGAUGGAAGCUGCUGUUCGCGCAGCUCUGGGUAGCACCCUGCGAGGAAGGCCCGGCCUUGCCCCAGACCUCAGUGCUCCUCCCGGCAGCGCCGCAGAGACUUGGAGCGCGCGGGCCCGUGGGAGCCCAGGAAAUGACCACACGGCAAAUCGAAAUCGAUGAACAGACAUCCGCAGCAUGCAUUCUCUUUUACUAAGAAGAGCCUUUCUUCAGCUCUACAACACCAUCCGCCGUGCCCAUUACUGGAUGUCUAAUGCACUCAACAAAUUCUAUUAUUUUAUGCUGGAUGUAUGGGGCUAUCCGUUAAUAUCUGACAGUUAUUACCCAGAAACUAAAU